rnacentral:rRNA from 1 species
ACGUAGGAGGCGAGCGUUAUCCGGAUUUACUGGGCGUAAAGCGCGCGCAGGCGGCUCGGCAAGUUGGACGUGAAAGCUCCUGGCUUAACUGGGAGAGGUCGUUCGAGACUACCGGGCUUGAGGUUGGGAGAGGGGUGUAGAAUUCCCGGUGUAGUGGUGGAAUGCGUAGAUAUCGGGAGGAACACCAGUGGCGAAGGCGGCACCCUGGCCCACACCUGACGCUGAGGUGCGAAAGCGUGGGUAGCAAACAG